GACGAACAGUGCGAACGUUAUUCGGAAUCAUUGGGCUUAAAGGGCGCGUAGGCGGCGGUGUAAGUUGGAAGUGAAAUCCCAUCGGCUCAACCGUGGAAUUGCUCCCAGUACUGCAUCGCUCGAGGGGGAUAGGGGUUUGCGGAACUACCGGUGGAGCGGUGAAAUGUGUUGAUAUCGGUGGGAACGCCAGUGGCGAAAGCGGCAAACUUGACCCUUCCUGACGCUGAGGCGCGAAAGCUAGGGGAGCAAACGGG
rnacentral:rRNA from 1 species